AGUGAACGCUGGCGGUAGGCCUAACACAUGCAAGUCGAACGGCAGCACAGUAAGAGCUUGCUCUUACGGGUGGCGAGUGGCGGACGGGUGAGGAAUACAUCGGACUCUACUUUUUCGUGGGGGAUAACGUAGGGAAACUUACGCUAAUACCGCAUACGACCUACGGGUGAAAGCAGGGGAUCUUCGGACCUUGCGCGAUUGAAUUAGCCGAUGUCGGACUAGCUAGUUGGCGGGGUAAAGGCCCACCAAGGCGACGAUCCGUAGCUGGUCUGAGAGGAUGAUCGGCCACACUGGAACGGAGACACGGACCAGACUCCUACGAGAGGGAGCAGUCGGGAAUAUUGGGCAAUGGGCGCAAGCCUGAUCCAGCCAGACCGCGUGGGUGAAGAAGGCCUUCGGGUUGUAAAGCCCUUUUGUUGGGAAAGAACAGCAGCAGGUUAAUACCCCGCUGUUCUGACGGUACCCAAAGAAUAAGCACCGGCUAACUUCGUG
rnacentral:rRNA from 1 species